ensembl:lncRNA novel transcript
AAUCAGCAUUAAGGUGCCGAGUACAAAAGGCUGCUCAAAGAGAGAGUUUUUCUGACCAACAACAUUCUACUUUAUUGAGGAUUUGGAUGUGAGAGAGAUAUAUAUAUGGAAAGCUGACAUUUGGCUGUGGGAGCAGAAGUAAAAAGAGACACGGCGAGACGGACCUGAGGGGUCAUAUUGAAAAUAUUAGACAAUUGAUGUAAUACAGGCACCUGACCAGCACUGACCAAUCAGAGGAAAUUCCAGGUAUAAACAUUUGAAACAUCUUACAGAACCAGUUUCCAGACCCUAUUUAUUGAUGACACUGUCCUCUCCUAAUUGUGUGUAUUUUGCACCUUUUUCAAAAAUCAAUGGACUAUAAAUGGGUAACGUGUCUAACAGGACCUCUGGAGCUCAAGGUUGGGCAAUGUAAACUUCUUUCUGAGUGACAUCCCCUGUCUAGGAUCUGAGUGCUCAGUGGAGGGGAGUCAGCAGGCUAAGGUCUUCUGGGCUUGCUUCUCCUGGCAUAGAACCACCAUCUCGAGUUGGAGAAAAGGCUACUGGGGUCUCAAUAUUUUCACUGCACCGUGCCAGAAGUAGAGCAUUUAUUCCACCAUUGGGGAAAAAGGGAGCCCUCAUCUCCCAUCAACACUCAACUGGAAUUUGACCUCAGCAAUAAACCUUCGGAAGUAAGCUGAGAAACGCUGAAGUCCUGCUCUUCCUGGGAAGGAAGCUUUCUGGUUGGGCAGAAAGGCAUCCCUAUGUUCUUUGCUGCAGCAGUGUGGAGUUGCUGAUCUGGGAGAGGGAAGGGAGGGAGAAGUCUUAGUUCAAAUACCGCAGGCUCUUGCCUUUCUUACAGAAUUUUGGCAGAUUUUCUUGAUGUUUCUUCAUUUUCUGUUUGCCCAUUGGACCAUUUCCAGAGUCUCUGAAUGGUUGUUUUUCAUAAUAAUUUUAAUCAAUUUUAUUGGUGAAAUGAAGCUCCUCAUACUGUCAUGCUAGAAGUCAGUUUUUCAGAUUAGAUUUUAAAUACAUAAAACACAUACAAUUAUAAAAUAAGCCAGCUAUAUUGAAAUACAGCCACCAAAAGUUUUUAAAGUUGUGGCAUAGUACUUAUUUGUUGAUAUAUUAAGUACUGUCUGGCUGUGUUCUAAUAACUACCUUAAUUUAAAAUAGAGAUGUACAUAAAUGAAACAUAUGUUUUGGGAUAUCUACAACAAUAUAAUGUAAUAUAGAAAUAUCUAUGAUUGCUAAUGAUGAAAAAGUCAUAGAGGUUUUAAUUUCAUUAUGGUUUGUUGUCUACGCUCAUGAUUUCAGGAAAUGCUGUUUCAGUUAGAGGUCAGUAAAAAUAAAAAUAUAAAUUUUUCCAAUCUGCAUUUACUGAUCCCUUGAAUUUUACCCACGGUCCUUUUGGGGACCAGGCAAAGAUUUCACAUAAGAUUUUAGAUCAUCACAGAAUCGAGAGACCUUUGAACAAUCCAUUUGUCCUGUGACCCUAGGAAUUGCUCUGAUUCUUCAAUUUUUAAUGGUAAAUGAAAACAACCUGUAGGAAUUUUGAGGUUCUCUGAAGUCUUGCAUGAACCUUUCUUGGAAAGCCAUGAUCUCUGUCUAUCACCAGCUUUGUCACUUCUCUGCAUCCUCUGAUGGGAGUAACCUUGGAAAUGAUGGCAGAAGCAUAGACAAGGAAUUUUGAAAAAGGAUACAUCAUUUCCAUUGUUGUAACAAGAGACCUAUCAGUGGUUUUAGAAAAAUAGUACUGACUCUGGAAUGUGCAAAUCUGGGGGAUUUAAGCUGUAAAUAUCAAGCAAAACAAAGAGAUUUAAGGCUAAGAAAAAGUGUUUAAAUAAUAUUGCCUACUAAAAUUUUAGUCUCUGUAGAACACAUCUUUGUGAAAACACAGUACUUUUAGAAAUUGACUAUAAUUCACUUAUAUAAUCUCUGUAAAAGAGAAAUUUAUCCACAUCUUAUAUGAUGGAGAAAAAAAGUAUUCUUUGGUCGUUGCUCAUUUCUAUCCUUUACUUCAAUAACUCAGGGCCGGGCACAGUGGCUCACACCUCUAAUCCCAGCACUUUGGGAGGCCGAGGCGGGUGGAUCAACAGGUCAGGAGUUCGAGACCAGCCUGGUCAAGAUGGUGAAACCCUGUCUCUACUAAAAAUACAAAAAUUAGCCAGGCACAGUGGCAGGCACCUGUAAUCCCAGCUACUCGGGAGGUUGAGGCAGGAGAAUCACUUGAACUCGGGAGGCGGAGGUUGCAGUGAGCUGAGAUUGAGCCGCUGCACUCUAGCCUGGGUGACAGAGCAAGACUCCGUCUUAAAAAAAAAAAUUCAGAUUUCACUUCUACCACUAAAUGUAAAUAUUUCUAUGAUACAAAGUUUCUUUUAGAAUUACUUCCUACAGGUUUUAUGUAACAGCAGUUUGUGUGGGAAGCUUAGUUAAUGCUGUUUGUCUAUAUACAUAUGCAGUUUUACUUUCACCACCAUCGCCAUCAGAUAUAUCAUUUCAAAAAUUAGUGACAUGAUAUGAAAUAAAACAAAACCUGAAUGUUAUUGUACCAUUGUACCUUAAGCGAUUCAGAUUAGAUAUAAAGGAGAUUUUAUUUUUUAUUUACUUAAAUAUCAGGAUUGUUAAAUAUUAGAAAGAUGCUCUCUCUUUAAAGGUCAUUUAAAAACUUCUAUCUGAGGUGAUUUGAGAGACCUGUUGCCUGAGGGGAGUGGGUGGGGCUGGAUGACUUCUCAGUGUUUUGUCUGGCCAUUUGAUUUAUGAUUCUGUGUUCUGAUGUGCAAAAGCAGUUUGUUAUGUUGAUGUGCAAAUGAUCUGGCUUGAAGAAAUCACAUCAAAGUAAUCUCUCUGUUUUAGUAUUUUUCUCACUUUAAAAAAUAUUCUAUUUUCAGAGAGAUAACGGGGGCCAAUUAUUAGUAUUUGCAGAAUAUUUCACAAAAUGGAAAGAAAUAAAAAAAGCA